rnacentral:snoRNA from 1 species
AAGACUUUACUUUCGAGAGUCUUUUGUAUGGUUUGUUAUUAGUAGAAGUUUUUAUUGGGCGUGUAGAGUACCGAUAAACCACGAGGAAGAGGUGCGGUGUUCUUUUUCUGAACGUGAAAUUGUCACUUACUGUUGUCUUAUUGCGUUUGUCUUUUGGCAUUGGUGGUUGUUUUUCUUUCCUCGAGGGAGAGAACGCAGUCUGAUUGGU